UACAGAGGUCCCAAGCGUUUGUUCGGAUUCAUUGGGCGUAAAGGGUGCGUAGGUGGCGCUGUAAGUGGGGUGUGAAAUCCCCGGGGCUUAACCCCGGGACUGCAUUCCAUACUGCGGUGCUUGAGGACUGGAGAGGAGACUGGAAUUUACGGUGUAGCAGUGAAAUGCGUAGAGAUCGUAAGGAAGACCAGUGGCGAAGGCGAAUCUCUGGACAGUUACUGACACUGAGGCACGAAGGCCAGGGGAGCAAACGGG
rnacentral:rRNA from 1 species